rnacentral:lncRNA from 1 species
AAGGAAAAGAAGAAAGGAAGAGGAAGGAGAUCCCGGUUGCGCUGCCAGCUGAAGGAAAAAGUGUAGAUCUCCUUCCCCUCUACGCAAGGACCUCGAUUUUCAAAAAGAAAAAGAUAAAUAUCCGUCCCUAUCUAGUCUUUUGAUGACAUUAGGCUAUACAAAGGGUGGAUAUAGUCUAGAGGAGUCGAAUAAGGGUUGUAGAGGCGGUUAAAAGAGGAAGAAUCGGAUUUUGACAAAUUUUUCCGGCACUACGGAAAAACUGUGUCGAAGUCCCAACUUCGGCGAAUUAUUUAGGGGGUCAAACGACCUCCGAU